rnacentral:lncRNA from 1 species
UUAUUUACCCAGGCUCCAAAAUCAACGAAAAAUUACUUCAUCAUCCAAAUAUUAAUUAUUAACACAAAAUUAAAGCAAGAUUAGUGACAGUACGAAAAAGAGCAGCCACCCAAAUGUUCAAAAAUAACAAAAUAAAUUAGCAAAUCAAAAACAGAAAAGUAACUUACAAUAAACAUUUAACAGAAAAAUAUUAAUAUCACAUCACAUUAAAUACAAACAAAAAACUUAACCACCAUGAACACUGAAUCAACCCAAAGAGAAUAACAUUUAAUAGGUUGAUAAUAUCAAAUCCAAAUAGAAGGCCCCAAAACGUCAAUUAAUUAUUAGUUCAAUUAGUACUAACGACGGAGAUAAUAAAAAAAGGAGAACAAACCAAUAAAGUAAACAAGAAUAUAAUAAUAUAAUAACAGAAAAAUCAAUAAGCAAUGCUAAAGUAAUAAACAGUAAAAUCAAUGUUCAGAAAUAAACACGAAAGGGAAAAGUGGAAGAAAGGCCACCAAAACCGGUCAGAUCUGGCGAUUUGUCGCCGGAGGGAUUCGCCGGAAACGCAAAAAAAGAGGGCGACGCCGGUGGUUUGGGCUGGAGCUCGCCGGAGAUGGAGGAAGAGGAGAGAGGGGUGUGAUGGUGCGGUUAUGGUUGCUGGUUCGUUUUGGCGGCGGGGGUGGCUGAAAGCUCAAGGUUUGUUGGUGGCUGGCUGCGAAGAAAAGGAGUAAGGGCGGCGUGGUGGCUGGAAUGGGGUGUAAGAAAUGAACGAGCGGCUGAUUUGUGUAAUGUAUGGUGUAUUGUGUACUCCACCAUUUAAAAACGAACUAUUUAUUUUGAUUUAACAUAAAAUUUAAAAAAUAAAGAAAUUUUUAAAUUUGAUGAUUUUAAAU